CACGUAGGGCGCAAGCGUUGUCCGGAAUUAUUGGGCGUAAAGGGUGCGUAGGCGGCGCGGUAAGUCGGGUGUGAAAUCGUCGGGCUUAACUCCGAAACUGCAUUCGAUACUGCCGUGCUUGAGGACUGGAGAGGAGACGUGGAAUUUACGGUGUAGCGGUGAAAUGCGUAGAUAUCGUAAGGAAGACCAGUGGCGAAGGCGGGUCUCUGGACAGUUCCUGACGCUGAGGCACGAAGGCCAGGGGAGCAAACGGG
rnacentral:rRNA from 1 species